AUUGAACGCUGGCGGCAUGCUUUACACGUGCAAGUCGAACGGUAACAGGUUAAGCUGACGAGUGGCGAACGGGUGAGUAAUGCAUCGGAACGUGCCCGAUCGUGGGGGAUAACGCAGCGAAAGCUGCGCUAAUACCGCAUACGAUCUGAGGAUGAAAGCGGGGGACCGUAAGGCCUCGCGCGAUCGGAGCGGCCGAUGUCAGAUUAGGUAGUUGGUGGGGUAAAGGCCCACCAAGCCGACGAUCGGUUGCUGGGCUGACAGGAGGACCAGCCACACUGGGACGUGGACACGGCCCAGACUCCUACGGGAGGCAGCAGUGGGGAAUUUUGGACAAUGGGCGAAAGCCUGAUCCAGCAAUGCCGCGUGCAGGAAGAAGGCCUUCGGGUUGUAAACUGCUUUUGUACGGAGCGAAAAGGUCCUUUCUAAUACAAGGGGCUCAUGACGGUACCGUAAGAAUAAGCACCGGCUAACUACGUGCCAGCAGCCGCCGUAA
rnacentral:rRNA from 1 species